rnacentral:lncRNA from 1 species
AAUAACCAUCAGACCUACCAAAUAACAAUCACCACCUAGAAAUAGCUCAAUUCUUGAAACAAGCUCCAUAGUCUAACAUCACCACCACUAACCACUAGCCACCACAAGCACAACCACAAAAACCAACAACACCACCACCAAAACUACCAUUAACCACCACAAAAACCACCAUUACUCCUCACCGAAAAUCAGCACCAGCCACCACGAGUAUCACCACCAAAAACCAACACCAACCACCAUGAGCAUCACCACUAAAAACCACCACUUUACAUUCAAACUCCAAACCCAACAACAGUAAACCACAUUAUUUUACAAGAAAAUCCAAACAGCGGCUGAAAAACUAAAGCAUCUACCCAUAAAACUCUCCCUCUCCAGCAUCACCAACCAAUAACCCUCCUUCUACAAAAAACGAAAACUGCCCCAUGCUCAUCAUCAUCACCAAAAUGUCACCACCACACAAAAAACACAUAAACAAUCCUUACUCUCAAUCCACCACCAACAACCACCACCUCGCUUUCUCAACAGCAACCACAAAACGGAUCUAGAUCUAGAUCCAAAUCCGGGUCUAAAAACUACCACCACGAGCCACCACCAGAUCCAUCGCAAAAUCACCACGAACAUCCCUGAAAACCACCACGAAACGAAAACCAGCACAUCCAUGAAAACCAGCCGCCAGGAGAAUAACUAGGAGUCACCGGUGCGAGCUGUUGCUACAACCUCCUAAAAUCACACUGGUACAAAGGUCAACGGAGGUGAGGUGAGGUGAUGCGGAGGUCGUGCCUCGUCGCACCACUGUCAUAAUGGUCUACAUCUUGAAGGAGAUAUCUUUAUUUUUUUUUAUUAAAAAUAAUAAACAAAAAAUAUAUUUUUGUCAUCUUUUUAUUAAGGAAACUGUUUCAAGG